AAUUCAAGAGGACACUGGUCCAUGGCUAUCUUUCUUUUCUUACUGUAUCUUGUAACUUCUGUGGUGCUUUAUCGAGAUUUACCAGUGUAAUACAUCUGGGAGUCUCAGGAAAUGUGAUGUUGAAGCAUAUUAACAAUUGUCACCACCCUACUUACCAAGUAUGUUUUCCUUAUUGAAAUCUGACUCGGCAGUGACCCAAUUCCAGAAUCCCAACAUGAAGGGCUGCUUUCCAGACUCUGUGUAACAAGCUGUCCUGGUUUGGCUUCACUGUGAAAGCCAAACCAGAGAUGGCCCUGGAUUGAUUUGCCAAAGAUCCACCCAGGAAUCCUGACUCAUUAAAGAAGGGUGGAGAUUUUCUGAGCUAAGCGAGAGACCUUUCCUCAGAGGUCAUUUUCUCUUCGACUUCUUCUGAGGCAACUCCUGCAGCCAGCCCCCAAAGACAGAAUCAGAUAAUAGGAAUUCAAAAACCUAACUUAACUGUGAGCCAUGUUACAAGGUUCAAGACCUUCAGCAACAGCCAGUUUUACUAAGUUACUAAUAGUCAAGGAGACACAGGAAGAAGAUGGCCAUCUAAAAGUCAAAAGAAGAAGCCUGGAACAGAUUUUUCCCUCACAGUUC
rnacentral:lncRNA from 1 species